GAAAAUUUGAGAAGAUAGUACAGAAAGCUCAUAUACUUUAAGCUAUGGGAUGAAUUGUGUUCAACAAAGAAGGAAAGAACAUUUCCUGGCUGAGGUCAGAGGCUGAAGUCAGAGGAAGAUGUGACUAUAGAAGAAUGAUCAUAGGAUUGCAAUAUUGCUGGUCUUGAAGACAGAGGAAGGAUGUGGGUUACAUCUAGAAACUGGAAAAGGUGAGGACCACACAUGGAAAAGGGAGGCUGAGAAUGUAAGACAUCAGCAGAGUGUGGAUCUGAUAGCUGUGUUGGAACUAAUGGAAGAUAGAUGGUUUGAGAGGUAAGGAGAUGGCUGGGCACUGCUGGGAAUGUUUUGAAGACACAUCUGGGCUAAACAGGGAGUAUCAUGAAUGAUUAGCAGUAUUUGCUUUGAGCUUGGUGAAAUGAAGG